CUGGAGUAAGGCAAUGGCUUCUAACUCCCCACCAAAUUCAGCAGUGCAAGAGGCAGUGCUGUGUCCAUGACCUGCUCCAGUACCUGUUCCCACUUUGCUUCUGGAGCAAAGCCCAUCUCCAUCCUGCUGGAAAGAGCUUUGCAAAGAGGAAGCAAAACUUGUGCUUGGUGCCCUGCAGAACAGACAGAGGCUUUGUGGGGGUGUCCGUGGGAAGGGGCGUGUUCUGGCCCCAGGAAUGGGAGGCAUGUCCRCAGUGGGAGGCAGCGCUCACGGGAUUCCCCACUCUCACCAUUGAGCAUUGUUCAGAACAAACGUAGAUGCUGUAUAUGGAUGUAAAGCUUAAUUUGUGGUUUUUACACCCACCACAUUUCUUGGAGUUGACGUUUUCUAGAACUUUGGGAAUUUUUAUCUCCAGGCUGUUGCUUUCUUUUGGGUUUUUUUCCUUCAUUUUAUAGGAAGUUAGCAGCCCAUGUUUUUUUCAUAAUGCAAACAAAUCAACCCACGCUUUGGCCAAAGCAGCUGGGUAAUGCUGUCCUGUCCUCAAAGGUGUUCGACUCUGCAGGGCAAUGGGGGCACAUGUUUGGUUCCUAUAACACAGUACAGCUGCACCAUGACAUUGAUUGGGUGGAUGCUGAGAAAUAUGUAGGAAUUCCCAGGGGAAAUGUGGAAAUGGGGGGGGCCUUCUUCACCCAGUGUUCCACUUUGUGCCMAACAGUGAGAACAGAGUGACUUAUUUUUCAGAAAUAUCUGUAGCCACCUAUGACUGAACAGUUGUUUCUUGCUCCUGAUAGCACCCAAAAUGUUCAGGGCAUUUUCCAGGUGGAAGAAAGAGCUAAAGAGACACAGAAGRAAGAGGGAGAAGAUUCARCUCAGCAGUUGUUAAGUAUAAGUGGAAUCUCAUUCAUUCUAAAAUUUCAGCCUAUUGUGAUGACUUCACAGUUUUAAAGAAAAAAAAAUGCUUUUGUGCUCUCUAAGGUGUGCUGAAAACCUCCUUGUUCCUSCUGCUCCGUGGCAGAAGAUGCUGCAUUGGGAUUUGUAGAAGGCUUUGAAAUGAGCCAGAACAUGAAGAAGAACAUGAGUACAUGAAGAAACAAAAUCAGAUGGAACUGGCUGAAAAAAAAACCCCAGUAGCCCCAGGUAGAAAACUUCCUCUGAACUCUGCAUGUGUUUGGACCCAGCUUAUAAGAGUCYUGCUUUAUCCCACUUCAGCAUUGCCAUCACCUCUUGUUGGAGAUGUGGAUUUUUAACCUGUCCUGGGUAAAACCAGUGGAUCACUUCAGGUACAAGUUAAGCUAAAMUAUUUCUUGGUGUACCUUUUCGUGUUCCUAGUGAUGAACCCUUUAGGAUAACUAAUAUCUGAAAGUGACCUUCUUCUGGACUUCUUGCCCUUACCAACCUCCUUUCACCUACACUGGAGAGUGUGAAUGCACAGUGGAGGCACUAAAGGACGAAGCUGCCCAAGAUCACCCUCUUCCCAGCCACUGUGUGGUGACAUCUUGACAUGRAGAUGCAGUUUCCAGGAGCUCCUAUGACAGACCUGAGGUCACCACAUAACAAUGACCCAGAGAACUGGCUUGGUGGCACACAGAUGACUGAAUAGGUGCCCUCCCAGUACUGCCCACACAGCUGCUGGUGAGCACAAAGUGAGUAUUCAGUGUGUUCAAUAUGCCAGGGACAUUAGUCACAGCUCAUUCCAUUGCACAUGUCCAUUGAGUGGAAGAACCACCGGGAUUUCUGUAAAUCCAGCAUGGGAAUUCACUCAUCCCAGCCUCCAGCAACAKUGAAUUACCCUGGUGCAGUUGGGAAGCAUACAUAGCCACAAUGAGAAAGUACCGUGGUUUCCCAGAAAGUAAUAGAGUGGUUAUUGCUGAUAGUUACUGCCUUUGUGAAACAUUAACAUGUGGUUGUAGUGCAGUCAUGUAGCAAAAUUAUAGGGGCCUGUAGAAUGUUACUUAGCAACACUUGCUAAUGGUGAGGUGGUAAUGAAGGAAUGGAGAAAARGAAACACAGAGUAUAUUGGAGUCAUAAAAUAAGCUGUGGUGUGAUGUGAGCAAGCUGUUCURAAGAUAAAGGUGUUGUCUCUUUCUUUUUUUUUGCCAUGUGGAUAUGGUGGAAGAACUUAAGAGCUGAUUUGAAGCAAUGCAUUUGAAAUAUCUAAGUAACAGAAACAAGCACGACAUUUUUCAUUUUUCUUUUAUCAUUGCUGCUGCUUGGGAAAAGUCUCAGAAUUGCUUGGCUUUUGAAGGUCCUCUCCCAUACUGAGGCACUAGCUGGCCAAUUAAAACAAUCUCUCCUUUGGAAAGCAAGCAUUUGUCAGAGUUAAGAAUGAAGGCUUUUUUCUACUACAUCUAUUGUCUCAUUCAUUCAUUUACAUAACUGCUCCARUGUUAAUCAAGUGCCUGUAGGCAUAUCUCUAGGAAAGUAUAAGGCCAUAAAAAWAAAGGCAGACAUAUCUAGUUAUAGAUGAACCAUCCACAUGCUGCAGAUCUGUUCUCAGACACUUAUCUUGGUUUAUCYCCACCUGUUUAAAUUGGAAAACUCACAAAAAUCCAUCUCCUUAGAGAUUUCCAAGGUUUCUUGAUUUCAUUUGGGUCAGAACUGACACAAAAAGAUGCAUUUCUCAGAGCACUUCUGAGCUGCUGCCAGGAACAGGGAGUGCUGGACUGUGCCACUAAAAAAAAAGAAAUAAAAAGUUUUCUUUGAAAAGUCACCAAAUUUUAUAAGCUUGAAAAAAUUGGCCUAGUUCAGUCUUGGGUAUGAUUAAAAGAGCUGCCCUGAUUUAUUGGUGUCAAACAAAGUAUGUUUGGGUAGAACAUUAUUUUGUAAUGGAAAAAGUGUCAGUGGAAGYGCUGCCUAUCAGCACUGCCUGGGCUGGGUGAGGACUGAGCCUUAAACUGCAUCUCUAAYGCUGGAGAAAAAGAAGACUAUUCUAAAAAGGAAGACUGAUUUACCKAGAAGGCCAUCUCUAAGUCUUCCAGAUAAAGGUGGGUGUGAACAAAGCUCAGCCUCUGGGGUUUUGCUGACUAAAUUAUCACAGAAGUCAUGGAGUAUACUGAGUUGAAAGUAACCCAUCAGGACCAUCUGAUAUUUGCCUGCUUUGCACUUCACCAAGGCCCUGCAAAGUAAAAGGAARCAAGUUUCUCAUUCCCUCCCCACCAGGAAUGCUAAGCCACGAAUAUAGAGUGAUGGUUUGGGAAAUGUUUCACAGAAGAAGCUUUCCAUAUGCAUAAAUUUAAUAAAACAAUAAUAUUCUCCAGUUGCUAACAUAUUUGCUUCCUGCUGUCCUUUAAUUUUGCACUUUUUCUUUCUUUUCCCUUGUAAAUGACAGAGUCAUUUUAUUUUGACUGUGUUCUUGUUCUUGCUCAUUGUCCUAUGCAGAGCUGGGGUAAGAGGCACUGGCACAAGGACGUGCCUACCAGGGACUGCCCAGAGACAAAUGGAAAAUUAAAUGUAAGUGAAGCAGGGGAGCCAAGCCUGAUGUUAACAACCCAGUCUGUUUCAGACAUACUUGUCCCACCAUCAUCCUUCUGGAGUAUUUUUAACAGARCCCUUGUGCAAAGGGAGACCUUACUAAGACGCCUACUCCUGCCCUUCCUAAAAUCACCAUGUUAAUCUUUCUUCAAARCAUGCAACUGAGGUGACUUUUGGCUUUAAAUGUGAUUUAUGACCCUUUGAGAUGCCGAUGAGGUUAUAGUUGAGGCCCUUAAACUGGACAAAAUUAGUAGCAAAUAUAAAUUUAAUUUGGUGAAUUUAUGAUAAAAAUUAUAGGGAAAAAUAAGCACUUACAGGAAGACUCUACCAUGAAAAAUUAUAUUGGAAUUAGCAGAGUCCUCAGCACCUAUACACAUUUCAAGCAGAUGUUCUGCCUGUCCUACUUAUCGGCAAUUACUUUUGAUCAAAAUGCUCCAGACUUUAAAAAAGGUGGUACUCAUUUUGUAGAGCUUGUUUCGGGUGAACAAAAUUGUCCUCUGUCUUACGAUGUUUAAUGAUUAUUUGAAAGCAACUUGAUGAAUAGAAGAACGUGUACUCCCACUUGGGGCAAAUGUAUUUUUGGAGUGAUUCAUAAUAAUUAAUCUUUGUCUAAGUGGAAUGCAUUAAUUUCUCCUACUGAUGAUGACGGUACUUCUGUUUCUUUUCCUAAGUUAGAUGGUUCUGCUCCAGAGGCAUAUUUGCUGAUUAAAUUGGACUGCGACCGGGUACUUAGGUUAUGUCACUGUUACCCAAAUGAUCUUUUAAAGAACACAAAGUACUUGUUUUUGCUGCUCUUGCRUGCUCCACAUUUAAUCACGGAUCUUUGUAGCUUGUUAUUUCUAAAAUUCAGAUUACAGUGACUUAAAGGCCUCUCCAUCCUUGCCAGUGCUCGGUGACAUAAAAUAAACCCGCCUAUUUAGAAAAGAACCAMAAAACUUGUCAAGUUGCACUGAGGRAUGGAAAGAAAAAGCAAGAAUGCUUUACAGGGAUCUGGAAAYGCCGUCUGCAGCGCAGCUAUAAAGGGAAAUGCUAUAAUAAGUUGAUAUUAUCCAUGUAGCCAGAACUUUGUUUCUGAGARCGCUGUUACCCGAGGCGGGGGUCCCUGUCGGGUGUGGGGUCCCAGGGCAGGGGUGAGACACAGACACAGCAGGAGAGGGUUCAUGGCCUCAAGAACGUGCGAGUGUCACCGGGCAGCGGGAGAAGGAAGCGGAACAAAGCAGAGGCACAGAUUCCCCACCAGCCUCCCGCUGCUCCUGGGCCACACCAGCCACCAAAGCCCCUCUGCUUGUCCCCACCUUGCUGGGGGCUGGCUGAGCCCCCCAGGCUGACUGUGCAGAGCCCAGUGUCCAUUGCCAUGUCCCU